rnacentral:rRNA from 1 species
AGUGAACGCUGGCGGCAGGCCUAACACAUGCAAGUCGAACGGCAGCACAGUAAGAGCUUGCUCUUACGGGUGGCGAGUGGCGGACGGGUGAGGAAUACAUCGGAAUCUACUUUUUCGGGGGGGAUAACGUAGGGAAACUUACGCUAAUACCGCAUACGACCAACGGGUGAAAUCAGGGGAUCUUCGGACCUUGCCCGAUUGAAUGAGCCGAUGUCGGAUUAGCUAGUUGGCGGGGUAAAGGCCCACCAAGGCGACGAUCCGUAGCUGGUCUGAGAGGAUGAUCAGCCACACUGGAACUGAGACACGGUCCAGACUCCUACGGGAGGCAGCAGUGGGGAAUAUUGGACAAUGGGCGCAAGCCUGAUCCAGCCAUACCGCGUGGGUGAAGAAGGCCUUCGGGUUGUAAAGCCCUUUUGUUGGGAAAGAAAAGAAGCAGGUUAAUACCCCGCUGUUCUGACGGUACCCAAAGAAUAAGCACCGGCUAACUUCGUG